AGCAGCCGCGGUAAUUCCAGCUCCAAUAGCGUAUAUUAAAAGUUGUUGCAGUUAAAAAAGCUCGUAGUUGAAUUUCGGGAUCAAAUUGUCGGUCGUGCCUCGGUACGUACUGGUAUUAUUGGUUCCUCCCUUCUGACGAACCACGAUGUCAUUAAUUUGGUGUCAUGGGAAAUCAGGACUGUUACUUUGAAAAAAUUAGAGUGUUUAAAGCAGGCUCGCGCUUGAAUACAUUAGCAUGGAAUAAUGAAAUAGGACGUUUGAUUCUAUUUUGUUGGUUUCUAGGAUCGACGUAAUGAUUAAUAGGGAUAGUUGGGGGCAUUAGUAUUCAAUUGUCAGAGGUGAAAUUCUUGGAUUUUAUUGAAAGACUAAACUACUGCGAAAGCAUUUGCCAAGGAUGUUUUCAUUAAUCAAGAACGAAAGUUAGGGGAUCGAAGACGAUCAGAUACCGUCGUAGUCUUAACCAUAAAACUAUAGCCGACUAAGGAUCGGAUGAUGUUAAUUUUUAAUGUACUCAUUCGGC
rnacentral:rRNA from 1 species